GCGCGAAAACUUCACACUGUGCGAAAGCACGAUGAGGGAAUCCCAAGUGCUGGCUCGUAAGAGUCAGCUGUUUUUCUGUCUAGAAAACAGAGAGAGUAAGAGCUGGGUAAGACGGGUGCCAGCCGCCGCGGUAAUACCUGCAGCUCAAGUGGUGGCCGCUAUUAUUGGGCCUAAAACGUUCGUAGCCGGUCUAGUAAAUGCCUGGGUAAAUCGUACGGCUUAACCGUACGAAUUCCGGGUAGACUGCUGGACUUGGGACUGGGAGAGGCUAGAGGUACUCCUGGGGUAGAGGUGAAAUUCUGUAAUCCUAGGGGGACGACCAGUGGCGAAGGCGUCUAGCUAGAACAGGUCUGACGGUGAGGAACGAAGCCCUGGGGCGCAAACGGGAUUAGAUACCCCGGUAGUCCAGGGUGUAAACGCUGCUUGCUUGAUGUUAGUCGGGCUCCGAGCCCGAUUAGUGUCGGAGAGAAGUUGUUAAGCAAGCUGCCUGGGGAGUACGGCCGCAAGACUGAAACUUAAAGGAAUUGGCGGGGG
rnacentral:rRNA from 1 species